rnacentral:rRNA from 1 species
CCUACGGGUGGCAGCAGUGGGGAAUAUUGCACAAUGGGCGAAAGCCUGAUGCAGCAACGCCGCGUGAGCGAUGAAGGCCUUCGGGUCGUAAAUCUCUGUCCUCAAGGAAGAUAAUGACGGUACGUGAGGAGGACGCCCCGGCUAACUACGGGCCACAAGCCGUAGUAAUACGUCGGGGGCUACCGUUAUCCGGAAUUACUGGGCGUAAAGGGUGCGUAGGUGGUUUCUUAAGUCAGAGGUGAAAGGCUAGGGCUCAACCGUAGUAAGCCGUUGAAACGGGGGAACUUGAGGGCAGGAGAGGAGAGUGGAAUUCCUAGUGUAGCGGUGAAAUGCGUAGAUAUUAGGAGGAACACCAGUUGCGAAGGCGGCUCUCUGGACUGUAACUGACACUGAGGCACGAAAGCGUGGGGAGCAAACAGGAUUAGAUACCCGAGUAGUC